UGGGAUGUAGCUCAGUGGCACAGCACCUGCCUGGCAAGCAGGAGGUCCUGAGUUUGAUCCCCAGUACCAA
rnacentral:tRNA from 1 species